GCAGAGGACACUCCUGACCCAAGGCAAAGCCUGGCCCUGGGACUCCACAGACAACCUCCCCCUGUCCCUCCACCCACAGAGAAUGGGCCUGGUCCAGGGCCAUUAACCCUCAGAUCUCUUGUUGUCCAGGUGAUGCCCUCUAGGCAGGAUCCCUGUGAGGUUGGGACCUGCUUCCGCCUUGGAGGAGCAGAUCCCAGAGGCCCUAGGGGGAUUGGAGUGUGUGGGAAGGUGACUUGGGUGUUCUCCCCACAGGUGUGAGCUCUGAUUCCUUGAGAAGAUGAUGGAAAAAGGAAGUUCCACACUGAAGCUCUCUGCGGCAGUGGCUGGUGUGCAAUUACUACUAUCUGCAUCGGGGAUUGGUGCCGUUGUGCUAUCCGUGGCCCUAGGAAUAGGACUCCUAAUAGGAAUCGGAUUCGGUAUCUUCUACUUGUUUAAGGCCCUCAAAAACAAGAUUCAAGAAAUGUUUUGACAGCAAUCCUUUCCAAUCUCCUGGCCGGAAGGAGAAGACUCCACCUUCCUGGGGAAUGUGUGAAGCAACUAGCUAUACACAGUUUAUAUUUUGAGUAUGAACAAAGUCAACUUUUGAGCAAAAUGAAAAUUAAUUAAAUACAUAUUGAUUGAGUG